rnacentral:rRNA from 1 species
CAGGCGGUUUGUUAAGCGAGAUGUGAAAGCCCCGGGCUCAACCUGGGAACUGCAUUUCGAACUGGCAAACUAGAGUGUGAUAGAGGGUGGUAGAAUUUCAGGUGUAGCGGUGAAAUGCGUAGAGAUCUGAAGGAAUACCGAUGGCGAAGGCAGCCACCUGGGUCAACACUGACGCUCAUGUACGAAAGCGUGGGGAGCAAACAGGAUUAGAUACCCUGGUAGUCCACGCCGUAAACGAUGUCUACUAGAAGCUCGGAGCCUCGGCUCUGUUUUUCAAAGCUAACGCAUUAAGUAGACCGCCUGGGGAGUACGGCCGCAAGGUUAAAACUCAAAUGAAUUGACGG